CUUGGGACGUGAGGUGAUGACCUAUGAAUUGACAGCCAGUAACUGGAGCCUCUGCCUGUCAGUUCUGUAGGCCACUGCUACGUUUGUCCCCUUGACCUG
rnacentral:pre_miRNA from 13 species